ACAGAAGGUUCUAUUUUGUAAGAAUUUCCUUUGGAAAAGUGGUGCAGCUGACAAAGGCUGAAUACUGGAUUAUCAAUCAAGGCUCAAAUAUAGCACAUAUAUAGUACAAAGAAUAAUAAUCGAAUGUUCUCUUUGAAAACUAUUACAUUGUCAUAAUUGAACCGUUUUCAACUUUUCAUAAUUGUUAAUCCUGAACUUUUCCAUUAUGUACGCACCUGAGAAUUGUCCGCUAACUUAGGAUGUGUUUGAGAAUGACGUUGAGGUUAGAUAAUUAUAAUUUAAAAGUUGCAGCACUAAAAUAUUUAGUAAACAA
rnacentral:lncRNA from 1 species